rnacentral:rRNA from 1 species
UUUUUUUUGUUUUUUUGAAAAAUAAAGCCUGCCCACUGAAUUUUGAAGGGCCGCGGUAUUAUGACUGUGCUAAGGUAGCGUAAUCAUUAGUCUCUUAAUUAGGGAAUAGUAUGAAUGGUUAAACCUAGAGUAAUUUUAUGGUUUUAAUUACUUAAAUUUUAGUUUAAAUUGAAAACGAUUUAAUAAAACAAAAAGACGAUAAGACCCUAUAGAGCUUAAUUUUAAGUAUCGUUUAUUCUUUAGGGGGAAAGAAUAAACGAUACUUAAAGUUUAGUUGGGGCAAUUAUAGAAUAAAAAAAACUUCUAUCGGUAUCUUUAAUUUAAAAAUUAAAAAAGUUACCUUAGGGAUAACAGCGUUAUAAUUUUAGAGAGUUCAUAUCGAUAAAAUUGUUUGCGACCUCGAUGUUGAAUUAAAAAAUCUUUUUGGGGUAAGUUUUAAAAAAGAUAGUCUGUUCGACUAUUAAUAUUUU